GGGCCCGAAGUUUAAACGGUUGAACAUUUGGCUGGCAGCCAGAAGGUAACGGGUUCGAUUCCCGUCGGGUCCA
rnacentral:tRNA from 1 species